rnacentral:rRNA from 1 species
UACGAAGGGGGCUAGCGUUGUUCGGAAUCACUGGGCGUAAAGCGCACGCAGGCGGAUCGUUAAGUCAGGGGUGAAAUGCCGAGGCUCAACCUCGGAACUGCCUUUGAUACUGGCGAUCUUAGAGUCCGGGAGAGGUGAGUGGAACUCCGAGUGUAGAGGUGAAAUUCGUAGAUAUUCGGAAGAACACCAGUGGCGAAGGCGGCUCACUGGCCCGGUACUGACGCUCAGGUGCGAAAGCGUGGGAGCAAACAGG